rnacentral:rRNA from 1 species
GUUGGGUUAAGUCCCGCAACGAGCGCAACCCUUGUCCUUAGUUGCCAGCACGUAAAGGUGGGAACUCUAAGGAGACUGCCGGUGACAAACCGGAGGAAGGUGGGGAUGACGUCAAGUCCUCAUGGCCCUUACGGCCAGGGCUACACACGUACUACAAUGGUCGGUACAGAGGGUUGCGAUACCGCGAGGUGGAGCCAAUCCCAGAAAGCCGAUCCCAGUCCGGAUUGGAGUCUGC